GACGAACGCUGGCGGCGUGGAUUAGGCAUGCAAGUCGAACGGUAUCAUCCUUUCGGGGGUGAGAGAGUGGCGAACUGGUGAGUAACACGUAGGUUAUCUACCCUCAAGACGGGGACAACCCAGGGAAACUUGGGCUAAUACCGGAUGUGAGCAACUUUUAGUUGUUUGAAAGGUGGCGUAAGCUGUCGCUUGGGGAUGAGCCUGCGUCCUAUUAGUUAGUUGGUGAGGUAACGGCUCACCUAGGCAAUGAUAGGUAGGCGGCCUUAACGGGUGGUCGCCCACACUGGGAUUGAGAUACGGCCCAGACUCCUACGGGAGGCAGCAGUCGAGAAUAGUCUACAAUGGUCGGAAGACUGAUAGUGCGACGCCGCGUGAACGAUGAAUCCCUUCGGGGUGUAAAGUUCUUUUAUAUGUGAGCAGUGCUUCUUAUAUUAACAGUAUGGGGAAGAGAUAUUAGCAUAUGAAUAAGCAACGGCUAACUCCGUGCCCAGCAGCCGCGGU
rnacentral:rRNA from 1 species